UGCUGUGAACUCGAAGAGUAGGGCGGGACACGUGGUAUCCUGUCUGAAUAUGGGGGGACCAUCCUCCAAGGCUAAAUACUCCUGACUGACCGAUAGUGAACCAGUACCGUGAGGGAAAGGCGAAAAGAACCCCGGCGAGGGGAGUGAAAAAGAACCUGAAACCGUGUACGUACAAGCAGUGGGAGCCUCUUUAUGGGGUGACUGCGUACCUUUUGUAUAAUGGGUCAGCGACUUAUAUUCUGUAGCAAGGUUAACCGUAUAGGGGAGCCGAAGGGAAACCGAGUCUUAACUGGGCGUUAAGUUGCAGGGUAUAGACCCGAAACCCGGUGAUCUAGCCAUGGGCAGGUUGAAGGUUGGGUAACACUAACUGGAGGACCGAACCGACUAAUGUUGAAAAAUUAGCGGAUGACCUGUGGCUGGGGGUGAAAGGCCAAUCAAACCGGGAGAUAGCUGGUUCUCCCCGAAAGCUAUUUAGGUAGCGCCUCGUGAACUCAUCUUCGGGGGUAGAGCACUGUUUCGGCUAGGGGGCCAUCCCGGCUUACCAACCCGAUGCAAACUACGAAUACCGAAGAAUGUUAUCACGGGAGACACACGGCGGGUGCUAACGUCCGUCGUGAAGAGGGAAACAACCCAGACCGCCAGCUAAGGUCCCAAAGUCAUGGUUAAGUGGGAAACGAUGUGGGAAGGCACAGACAGCCAGGAUGUUGGCUUAGAAGCAGCCAUCAUUUAAAGAAAGCGUAAUAGCUCACUGGUCGAGUCGGCCUGCGCGGAAGAUGUAACGGGGCUAAACCAUGCACCGAAGCUGCGGCAGCGACGCUUAUGCGUUGUUGGGUAGGGGAGCGUUCUGUAAGCCGUUGAAGGUGUGCUGUGAGGCAUGCUGGAGGUAUCAGAAGUGCGAAUGCUGACAUAAGUAACGAUAAAGCGGGUGAAAAGCCCGCUCGCCGGAAGACCAAGGGUUCCUGUCCAACGUUAAUCGGGGCAGGGUGAGUCGACCCCUAAGGCGAGGCCGAAAGGCGUAGUCGAUGGGAAACAGGUUAAUAUUCCUGUACUUGGUGUUACUGCGAAGGGGGGACGGAGAAGGCUAUGUCAGCCGGGCGACGGUUGUCCCGGUUUAAGCAUGUAGGCGGAGGUUCCAGGUAAAUCCGGUACCUU
rnacentral:rRNA from 1 species